AAUCGGGGCCCCCCCCCCCGGGUUUCUCUGCCCGUACAAGGAAAUAUUCAAUCCGGGCUACUACAAAGCAUGCUUAUGGGGUCUAAUUAAUUGAUUGAUUAAUUAAUUAACCCUUGCUUUGCUUUGCUUCACCGAGAAUUGUAACGUUUUUCUUUCCUCCUUUGGCCUAUUUCUUCCUGUUUCACAUUCGGGGGGAGUUAUGGACGCUGGAACGUGGUUACGUGAUACUACGAAGAAGGUUCUCGCUGAGUGGCAUUUCACAGUGGGGGAGCCGCAACAGCUGAUCUGGUCUUCGUGUUGAGAGAUCAGCUUGAACUUGUGCGAGGACACCUCACCGUUGACAGUUUCCAAAAGAGUAUAAGUUAUAGCUCGAAAGUGGCGAAGUCAUUUUUCAUUGAACAGGUCUCUCCAGGACACUUGGAACAACUCCAUUGGAACACAGUCAAAUCAGACCCCAUCCUACUCCCCCCCUCCCUCCCUCUCCUGGGGCAAAAGAAUGGUCAGUCAGUACCUGUGCCUGCCUGACGAGGAAUGCUUAACGGCGAGGAGGCAUUCUCUGCUUGACACGACGGACCAACUACGGCAGACAUAUAAGUUAUAUACCCAAAAGGAAAUAAAGGCACAUCGGGUCCUUAUUAGGGUUUCGGUCCCAGAGCCAGUGGGUGUGUGUGUAUGAGUUGGGGUGUUUCAGGAAUGAAUGAGAAGUAGAAGGAGGGGAGUGUGUAUUGUAUAGUGUUGCAUGUCUGUGUGUGUGCAAGUAAGUAGACACUCACUCACUGUCUACUUGGGGUGAGAUCCCAAAGGGAGGAUACUUACUUACUACUCUAUAAAUAAGAUCCCCUCCCUCCCUCCAAGGUG